AUGCAAGAAAGGCAGUAUGAGAAGUAUCAUAAGGGUGCCGGUCAUCCAGGGUGCCAGUAACCCGGAAGUAAAAGUGUAGCUUUUACAGUUUUUGCCACCAAAACGUUUUAUCACUAUUGAUUUGAAUGAAUAUAAAAUCCGUAGUUUAAAGUAAAUAACAACUAGCUGCGCCGCGUCCAAUCAAUCAAAUUUGUACAAUAACCUGACUCUCUGUACAACGUACGAUCGCUAAAUAUACGAUCAAUUGACCAUUCCGUGAACAUGUGGUUGUAAACAGCAUGUCGCAACUGUUUGCCUGAAAGAGUUAUUUAUUUUUUAUUCCUGGGGCACCUGUUUUCACGUGACCAGUUUACUGCGCAAGUGCACACAGUAUCCAGGUAGACGACCGUUAAACGGAACUAGAAGGCGCGAAAGUAAGAAAAAUAAAGUUAAUUUUUCCAGAGAGUCGCGAAGAGGAGAAGACGAGAGGAAACCAGAAGUUUUGUUGUCGAAAUCUGAAAUGUACCGUUUUUCACCAUGAAAUAACAAUGUAACAUUAGGUACUGUUGCCAGUCAGUGUCGGCGUCUGUGUCAGGCUGGUCAGGAUGGAGAGAGUAUAUUUGUUUUCUGCUGUGGUUCAUGUGAGCGCUGCAACAAUCUAUGUCUCGCCCCAGAUGCUCUCAUUGGUUGAAAUCAACAGGCCCUUCUUCCUGGUGACUCACUGUUUGUGUAGAGUCACACACAGUUCAAAUCUGGGAGGAAACAAAGCAAGACCUGACCACUGGCUGAGCUGCGACCGUUUCUGACAUGCUGCAAUCUACAUGUAUGUUCCUGCGGAAAGAGCAGAGGGGAAGAAAGACACGAGGCAAGUUAGGAUUGUAAAAAACAAUAUAGAAAAAAAAAAAUCUAAAAAUCGUCUUUUUGCUGCAUUUUUUUUUGUCUUUUUUUCACAAGUCAGGAACCAGUGAGGACAUGCUGAGGAGAGGAGCCAGCCAAGAGUUUCUGUUUAAAGAGAAUGCACUGAGUUUCUGUUGGCCGAAGUCAGUGCCGAAAAGAUGAGGGGGUGUGUGUGUGUGUGUGUGAGUAACCUCCACCAAGAUGACCUCACUAACAGGAGAACUUUGCUCCAGCUUGUCCUUCCCUGUACUCUUAGGGCUCAGCCUUUCUACCCCAUCUCAGCAUCCUGACUUGUCCCUGAAGCCCUGAUGGGUGUGUGGACUGUUGGCCGUUCACUAGCCAUUGUGAGCGGAAACACCAAACACACACACACACACACAUCUACUUCAUUACCCUAACUUUACCUAUUACAAAUGAAUUCCCUAAUCCUAAUCUGACCCUGAUUUUAACCCAAACUUCAUUUUGAAACUAAAAAUACAUUCUUACUCAGAGGGGAUUUACAAUAUAUUCCCACAAGGAAAAAUAUGUCCCCACAACAUUAGUGUCUUUGCCAAAAAUGUCCCCACAAAUACACACAACCGCAGUACACUGUCCUCAGACAUACCCCAAGGCUUCUCUUCUUCAUCAUCUUUCCAUGCUCCGUAAUAGUUCUGUUUAGGUUGUCUUCACUUCAUUCCAUUAGCUUUGUGUACAUCUGUGUGUGUGUUUACCAUUUGUGUUCAGCUGGUCCCUACACUUAUCUGCCACUUGUCUGAAUGUCUUCCUUGUAAAUGUUUGUAACCUGCUCCCUGUCCGUGGAGUGGUGGCACUCCAUGAAGGUCGGGGAUUCCAGGACUUCCAGGCAGCAGAGCUGUGUGGAGGACUUGAAUCCAAACAUCAAGAGUCGACUGCUGCUCUAAGGUUCGUCUCCACUCAUGCUCCAUUCCUCUGCCAUUCCCUCAUGCUUUGGCCGGCAACUCACACGUCUCUCCAGGAUUUCAUGCUGAGCUUGAGAUCAAAACUUGGAUCUUUGCUAACACCAUGAGCUAUGAUUCAGUGGGUCUUUGUCAUGCAGAACUCUCUGCUUGUAGUGCCUGCUGCCCUGGGCCUCUUUAGCAGCACAUGAAACAUACCACAUACUGCCACAACUUCCACUAACAUGAUUAAAAUAGCCAAUAACCACAGUUGUAAAACUUUAGGGUUAUGACAUUUCCUGUCAUCAGUACUUCUGAUUUUAUUCAGAUUAUUUGCUUUUGGGAUUCAGUAAAAAAAAUCCUAACUUUAUAAGAAAGUCCAACACAACAACAGGUGACAGCCAUUUCAGGUACAGCCUCAUACAGUGUACAUGUACAGUACCUCAGUAUGUGGUUUUAUAAGUCCUGUCCCCAUUAAAGCUCCUAUAAUAUAUUAUUUAUAAAAUACUCAAUAGUGUGCAGUGAUUCUAACUUUAGCUUUAACUUCACUUUAGUAGUAGUAGUGAGCAUAUAGUACACACACACCGUUCUUUGUGGUGCUAAGAGAUGUCGACGUCUGUGCUUAGUGUUUGCAGAUGGUGGUAGAAAACCUGGGACUGUUUUCCAUCCCUAAGAUGGUCAGAUUUGUGUGGAGACAAUGACUCUGUAUAAAUCCCACGUGGCGUAGAGAUAAGUGGAGGGCAAUUCCAGCCUGAGUGAGUAGCUGAGGCCAAAAAUACCAUCCAUUCUGCUGCAACAGAUGAGGACCUGGAGAUGGGUGGUGUAACAGAGGAGGGCUGAAGUGAGAGGAUGAUCUGCUGAAAUGAUUACACUAAAAAAUGGCAACUUUAAAAGCUGGUUGCAAACUAAAUCUUAUUUUACACUGCCACCUACAGGGCUGGAGUGUGUGUAUCAUUUUUAUUGCCGUGCUUGUCAUGAGGCAACUGAGAUUGGUUCAAACCUUGUAUUGUAUUUGUAAUUAAUCCAACAACAUGUUGGAGGUAAAGUCUGGGCCAAACAUAGAGGGUUAAUACUUUAGGACACUAGGACAGGACCCACACAGUCCACCUGGACUCCACCUCCUCUUCAUAGUUGCGUUCCCACUGCGACAGGGAGCUGUUAGAACCUGAAUCAUGACCUGAAAUACUCUGCUCACUUUUUCUGCAUAAUCACUUUUUUGCAGUCGAAGAGGGAAAUGAGUUCAUGCAGCGCCGGGGUAGAAAAGUGAUCCAUUUGGAGGCAGAGGGGAUUUCUCUGAGUCGUUCUGUGGUUGUGUGUAUGUGCAGUGGUCUUCAGUGAAGGAGACCAUAUGUGAUCAAAGACAGCCGAGGCCAAACAGUUGAUACAGUUCUGACGUUACAUUAUCCUAAAGUCACACGUAUGGAAAGACAGAGAGGGAGGGGAGGUCGGCGGGGGCUCAUUUCUGCUGCAGCUCAUUUUCUUGAAAUAUUUUGCAUGAAUAUUGGCAGCCGUCGGGCUGGAGAAGACAAAAGGAAAUGAACCGCGCCUGCUGGAGCCAAAGACAACACACAGUGUGAGAAAGUCUCACUGCAGUUACUGUGUGCAGGGGACAAUCUCAAUCAAACGUCUGUGGGACGGAAAAAAAAUUAAUGCUGGUCAACGAUUAAAGCUUUUAAUUAAUCCCAGAAAGUCAUGCUACUAAUCACCAAUAAUCAAAUCAAAAGUAUUGUAUAGCACAUAUUUAUUUAAAAUGUACUGCCAAAUGAAUGGAAGUCCCAUAACAUUUGUUGUGCUAACACUUAACAUCAGCUUUUUAUAUAGUAGCAGUUAAAUAAAAGUAUUUAGUGUAAGUUUUUUUUUGUAAUUUGUUGUUGUGGGGGGUGCACUGUUCUUGCGGGAGGGCAUUUCUAUGAAAAAUGUUUGUGGACCUCUGGCAGGGAUGGUCAGACUUUUUUUCUAGCUCCUAGUUAAAAAUAGGGAUCUCCAAUAUUAACUUUUUGCCGAUAUUGUCUAAACACUUAAUUUCUGAUUCCAGUAUCAAGCGAUACCGAUAUAGGCCUGGUAAUAUGUAUUUAUUUAUCUGUACAAAAAAUUUUAUGAGUAUGAGAUUAAUUAAAUGAGCUGCAAUGCUGCCAUCUAGUGACUUUUGCUUUAAUAUACAUCCGUUUAUCCCUAAAACUAUUUUUAGGGCACACAUCAUUUGGCCGAACCCACGCAUUGCGUCAGGUUUUCAUUAUCGGGGAAAAAGUGAUUACAAUUAUUACAGAUAUUACAUAAUAUGCUAAUAUCAGACAUUCCUGGUUAAAAGUUUGAAAGUAUAAUAAACCAAAAACCCCAGUUAUUUCAUCUUAAAUGAGUUCUGACCCAGUGUACUGUGUUGCUGCGCUGUUGAACAGUGAGACUCUACAGUAUAAGACUUUUAUGAUGUAAUGACACACGGCUGCCUUUAAACCUGUGUGAAGGACAGUGUGGAUUAUAAAACAUCUGAAGUGGUGGAGGAAUAAAAAGGCGUGGGAGGGUGAGGGCGGGGGUGAGGAAGGGGUCUCUGGGUGUUUGACUGAUAGAGCAGAGGAGGGAGAGGAGCCAGGUCUGUGUUUGCUGGGUGUGGCUGCAGACAUGAAUCAGUGUGUGUGAAAACUAUCACUGCACCGGACCAAAUUCCUGAAAACACAGUAUGUGAUGUGUAAAUAUUUAUAAGACGCAUUUCAAAUCAGAGCAAAUGAUUCAGCUGGACGAUAGAAAAUCAUCAGGAGGAGACGGAAACACUCCAGACUCCAUUCAGAUGAACAGGUGUUUGUUUUUUUAAAAAGCAAACAAAAAUACUGUAAACUUUGUUUGUAUGUCUCAACAUUUGUUGUACUUUUCUCCUAAACUUUUAUGAAGUGUAAAAACUGUGAACUCCAUUAAGGAAAAUAUUUAUACUUUAUAGUUUUUAUUUCUUUGCUUUUUCUUCUAUUUCUCCCUAGACUUUAUCAUCUCUUUUUCAUUUCUUCCUCUACUUCUUAUUCACUUCUCUUCCUUCUUGUCUUCUGCUUUGUCUUCAACUUCUAGUAUUUAUUCUUUACUCCUAUUAUUUCUACACCAUUUUCCUUUAAU